rnacentral:lncRNA from 1 species
GUGUGAGAUAGUGCUAGUGUAAGACUGCUUCGUGCUACAGUGAUGGUAGGUCCUUGUGUGGGGGAGAUAGUGCUAGUGUAAGACUGCUUCAUGAGACCCAGUGAACAAACAGUGGUACUGCUACAGUGAUGGUAGGUCUGUAUGUGGGGGAGAUAGUGCUAGUGUAAGACUGCUUCAUGAGACCCAGUAAACAAAGCAGUGGUACUGCUACAGUGAUGGUAGGUCUGUGUGUGUGGGAGAUAGUGCUAGUGUAAGACUGCUUCGUGCUACAGUGAUGGUAGGUCUGUGUGUGUAUGGGAGAUAGUGCUAGUGUAAGACUGCUUCGUGCUACAGUGAUGGUAGGUCCUUGUGUGGGGGAGAUAGUGCUAGUGUAAGACUGCUUCGUGCUACAGUGAUGGUAGGUCUGUGUGUGUGGGAGAUAGUGCUAGUGUAAGACUGCUUCGUGCUACAGUGAUGGUAGGUCCUUGUGUGGGGGAGAUAGUGCUAGUGUAAGACUGCUUCGUGCUACAGUGAUGGUAGGUCUGUGUGUGUGGGAGAUAGUGCUAGUGUAAGACUGCUUCGUGCUACAGUGAUGGUAGGUCUGUGUGUGUGGGAGAUAGUGCUAGUGUAAGACUGCUUCGUGCUACAGUGAUGGUAGGUCCUUGUGUGUGGGAGAUAGUGCUAGUGUAAGACUGCUUCGUGCUACAGUGAUGGUAGGUCUGUGUGUGUGGGAGAUAGUGCUAGUGUAAGACUGCUUCGUGCUACAGUGAUGGUAGGUCUGUGUAUGUGGGAGAUAGUGCUAGUGUAAGACUGCUUCGUGCUACAGUGAUGGUAGGUCUGUGUGUGUGGGAGAUAGUGCUAGUGUAAGACUGCUUCGUGCUACAGUGAUGGUAGGUCCUUGUGUGGGGGAGAUAGUGCUAGUGUAAGACUGCUUCGUGCUACAGUGAUGGUAGGUCUGUGUGUGUGGGAGAUAGUGCUAGUGUAAGACUGCUUCGUGCUACAGUGAUGGUAGGUCCUUGUGUGGGGGAGAUAGUGCUAGUGUAAGACUGCUUCAUGAGACCCAGUAAACAAAGCAGUGGUACUGCUACAGUGAUGGUAGGUCCUUGUGUGGGGGAGAUAGUGCUAGUGUAAGACUGCUUCGUGCUACAGUGAUGGUAGGUCUGUGUGUGUGGGAGAUAGUGCUAGUGUAAGACUGCUUCGUGCUACAGUGAUGGUAGGUCCUUGUGUGGGGGAGAUAGUGCUAGUGUAAGACUGCUUCGUGCUACAGUGAUGGUAGGUCUGUGUGUGUGGGAGAUAGUGCUAGUGUAAGACUGCUUCGUGCUACAGUGAUGGUAGGUCCUUGUGUGGGGGAGAUAGUGCUAGUGUAAGACUGCUUCGUGCUACAGUGAUGGUAGGUCUGUGUGUGUGGGAGAUAGUGCUAGUGUAAGACUGCUUCGUGCUACAGUGAUGGUAGGUCUGUGUGUGUGGGAGAUAGUGCUAGUGUAAGACUGCUUCGUGCUACAGUGAUGGUAGGUCCUUGUGUGGGGGAGAUAGUGCUAGUGUAAGACUGCUUCGUGCUACAGCGAUGGUAGGUCUGUGUGUGGGGGAGAUAGUGCUAGUGUAAGACUGCUUCGUGCUACAGUGAUGGUAGGUCCUUGUGUGGGGGAGAUAGUGCUAGUAUAAGACUGCUUCGUGCUACAGCGAUGGUAGGUCUGUGUGUGUGGGAGAUAGUGCUAGUGUAAGACUGCUUCGUGCUACAGUGAUAUGGUAGGUCUGUGUGUGGGGGAGAUAGUGCUAGUGUAAGACUGCUUCGUGCUACAGCGAUGGUAGGUCUGUGUGUGUGGGAGAUAGUGCUAGUGUAAGACUGCUUCGUGCUACAGUGAUGGUAGGUCCUUGUGUGGGGGAGAUAGUGCUAGUGUAAGACUGCUUCGUGCUACAGUGAUGGUAGGUCCUUGUGUGGGGGAGAUAGUGCUAGUGUAAGACUGCUUCGUGCUACAGUGAUGGUAGGUCUGUGUGUGUGGGAGAUAGUGCUAGUGUAAGACUGCUUCGUGCUACAGUGAUGGUAGGUCCUUGUGUGGGGGAGAUAGUGCUAGUGUAAGACUGCUUCGUGCUACAGUGAUGGUAGGUCUGUGUGUGUGGGAGAUAGUGCUAGUGUAAGACUGCUUCGUGCUACAGUGAUGGUAGGUCCUUGUGUGUGGGAGAUAGUGCUAGUGUAAGACUGCUUCGUGCUACAGCGAUGGUAGGUCUGUGUGUGUGGGAGAUAGUGCUAGUGUAAGACUGCUUCGUGCUACAGUGAUAUGGUAGGUCUGUGUGUGGGGGAGAUAGUGCUAGUGUAAGACUGCUUCGUGCUACAGCGAUGGUAGGUCUGUGUGUGUGGGAGAUAGUGCUAGUGUAAGACUGCUUCGUGCUACAGUGAUGGUAGGUCCUUGUGUGGGGGAGAUAGUGCUAGUGUAAGACUGCUUCGUGCUACAGUGAUGGUAGGUCUGUGUGUGUGGGAGAUAGUGCUAGUGUAAGACUGCUUCGUGCUACAGUGAUGGUAGGUCCUUGUGUGGGGGAGAUAGUGCUAGUGUAAGACUGCUUCGUGCUACAGUGAUGGUAGGUCUGUGUGUGUGGGAGAUAGUGCUAGUGUAAGACUGCUUCGUGCUACAGUGAUGGUAGGUCCUUGUGUGGGGGAGAUAGUGCUAGUGUAAGACUGCUUCGUGCUACAGUGAUGGUAGGUCUGUGUGUGUGGGAGAUAGUGCUAGUGUAAGACUGCUUCGUGCUACAGUGAUGGUAGGUCUGUGUGUGUGGGAGAUAGUGCUAGUGUAAGACUGCUUCGUGCUACAGUGAUGGUAGGUCCUUGUGUGGGGGAGAUAGUGCUAGUGUAAGACUGCUUCGUGCUACAGUGAUGGUAGGUCUGUGUGUGUGGGAGAUAGUGCUAGUGUAAGACUGCUUCGUGCUACAGUGAUGGUAGGUCCUUGUGUGGGGGAGAUAGUGCUAGUGUAAGACUGCUUCGUGCUACAGUGAUGGUAGGUCUGUGUGUGUGGGAGAUAGUGCUAGUGUAAGACUGCUUCUUGAGACCCAGUAAACAAAGCAGUGGUACUGCUACAGUGAUAUGGUAGGUCUGUGUGUGUGGGAGAUAGUGCUAGUGUAAGACUGCUUCAUGAAACCCAGUAAACAAUGCCACUAUUUCAAUGUCAUCUUGAGUGGUUUUGUAGCAUGGACAAAUAUAUUCCAUAUAGAGUGCUGUUUUGAUAUUGGAAAUGAUUCAAGCCAACAGUUAUUGCUUAAUUGAUGUAGUACCUGCUUUGGACAGUCAAUGUGCUAUUUCAGUGUUGAUUAUCAUUUUUUCUUGCAUAUGAUGUAAUUGAUGUAAUGUUUUGUGCCGAACCGGAUUUGUGUGAACAUGUUUUAUUCCUAUCUAUUACUGAUAUAAUGAACCCCCAAAGUUAACAAGUCUCUUAUUGUGUUUAUGAAUUAUGACAGCAAGUACUUUGCCUGAUGCUGGUUCAACACAAUGUAAUUCACUUGGUCAUGUUGAUGUAUUCUCCUGACUUGUAUCAGCUCCUUGUUUAUUACAUAUCUAAGAGGAUAAUUACGAGAUGACGAGAUGAAUCCAAUAUUUUCCCGAUCUACCUUAACUCAAGUGUGUAUUGUAUGCUUGUGUGUUAUGUAUUCAAGACAUCAGCAGAAACAAAUUCUUUUCUGUG